GACGUAGGGCGCGAGCGUUGUCCGGAUUUAUUGGGCGUAAAGAGCUCGUAGGCGGCUCGUUGCGUCCAUCGUGAAAACUCAGGGCUUAACUCUGAGCUUGCGGUGGAUACGGGCGGGCUAGAGUUCGGUAGGGGAGUCUGGAAUUCCUGGUGUAGCGGUGAAAUGCGCAGAUAUCAGGAGGAACACCAGUGGCGAAGGCGGUGCUCUGGGCUGGAACUGACACUGAGGAGCGAAAGCGUGGGUAGCAAACAGG
rnacentral:rRNA from 1 species